UGAAAUGGAUUCCGAUGAGGCAACACGUACGUAAGCGUCUUGUUCCCACCAUGAAUCAUCGUUUGUCGUGUUUCGGCCCUGUGUGGGGUACAAGAAUUUAGCGUUGUGCGGAAAGCUCAAUUGAUUUUACGCUUUCCAAUUUCAUCUCAUGCCGAGAGCACUAGAGAACCCCACGCGCACGCGCGCAGCAGGACAAUGAGUGGUUCAAGCCAAAGCCGGGAAAUAUCCACACUUCGUUUCGUGGACAGUGAGUAGCCCGUGCGAGGGAUUUGGUCCCUGUUCUCGGCAGCGAUACACUGUUUUUAAAGACCCACAAAGGCCGAAAUUGCUUUCGACUUUCUGACAAGGUUUGAGCCGGCUACAACGUCAGUGAGAAUACUGCCCGACAUUUUUCAGAAGGCUCCUGAGUGACGCUUUGAGAGACCCCUACUUACAUUAAAAUUGGAUUUUACAAGAACACCCGGAACUAGAUCGAGAGAACUAGCCUUCUACCGACCUAACAUAUUGUGGUGUUUCUGGUGCUGGCUGGUGCAGUGAGGAGGACGAAGGGCGAACGCAAGGUCUGUGUUGGAGUUGCAACAUCAUUCACUUUUGGAUAUAUUAUCCUCGCCUCAUCGUGUCGCCAGGCACUGAUUCCAUCCUGCGGACUUAAUAAUAUUAUUGCUCACGGUGAGUCGUCCGUCAGUCGAUGUGAGUGUUCGUGACUGUGUUUAUAUUGAUUUUAUGCUGAUGGUUGAGGUUGGAAUCCAGAAAUAUGUAAUUUUUGCUUGUGUACCUUCUAUUUGUGCCUCUCUGUGUUGUUCUUUAUCAAUGUUGCUGCAUUCCGUAGUCUGUCGUAGUUUUUAAGUUCUGACUCAUGGUAGACUACAUUGACAUUUCGAUUUUUCUAAAAAGUACGUCGCAUUCCUGUUGCAUGAGUGUUACGUGUUAUGGUUUAUUUGAUAUCUUAGUCUGUCUGUCAGUCUGUUUGUCUGUCUGUCUGUCCGUUUGACUGUCUGUCUAUCUGUCGGUGUGUCUGUGU